CCCACUCUCCCUCUCCAUCGAGAUCCCUCCGUUGAGAUCCGAUCUUUUUGAUGGUGCCGAGCUCUCCCUCCUCUCCUGCUCUCGGUUCCUCUCCCAUUCUGCGGCUCUGGGUGCCCUGCCUCUCCCUCUCCGUCAUGAGUUCUGCUCCCUCUCUGUAUCUCUCAGUCUCCCUCUCUCCCUCUCUUUGUCUCUCAGUCUCCCACUCUCCCUCUCCGUCGAGAUCCCUCCAUCGAGA
rnacentral:lncRNA from 1 species